UACGGAGGGAGCUAGCGUUGUUCGGAAUUACUGGGCGUAAAGCGCACGUAGGCGGCUUUGUAAGUUAGAGGUGAAAGCCCAGGGCUUAACCCUGGAAUUGCCUUUAAGACUGCAUCGCUAGAAUCGUGGAGAGGUGAGUGGAAUUCCGAGUGUAGAGGUGAAAUUCGUAGAUAUACGGAAGAACACCAGUGGCGAAGGCGACUCACUGGACACGUAUUGACGCUGAGGUGCGAAAGCGUGGGGAGCAAGCAGG
rnacentral:rRNA from 1 species